rnacentral:tRNA from 1 species
GUAGAGAUGGCCGAGUGGUUCAAGGCGUAGCAUUGAACCUGCUAUGUAGGCUUUUGUUUACCGAAGGUUCAAAUCCUUCUUUUUUCG